GGAAGUUACCGGUAGACGUGAGGAAAGUUCAAACAUUUGUUGCUGCAGGAGCCAACUACCAGUGCCGGACCGCGACAUAUGAGCCAUGCGUUAGGAUAAAAGCGGACUUGGCCGGGCUUUUCUUAUGGUUGAUGGCGAGCUACUGAAACAGGAUUCUAGCCUGACGAAGAAGUAUCAAUCCACCUGGAGAUGCCUACCAGGAACCCCAACCUCCUGCUCUGUCCGGGCUGGACCGUGGGGCAUUCAGGGACCCUCUGUUCUGUCCACCUGACACCGAGGGAUCUGUGCACCGGCGACUUCGACCAGGAGAGAUUUAAGCAGACACAGGCAAAUGGGUGAGUAGUGCGGUGAACGGG
rnacentral:lncRNA from 1 species